rnacentral:ncRNA from 2 species
CCCUUAUUCAGAGUGAUGGAGAUACAAAGGAUCUGUGAAGUCACGGCAACCCCGUUUAAGCAGGAAGGACGAUAAGUCCGGACGGCAGGGAACGGAAGGUGCCAGCCUGAGCGAGGAGCCGGAAGAAUUCGGUUAAUCGAGCAAUAAGAG